AAGAAAGUAAAUAAGGGCACACGGGGGAUGCCUAGGCUCUCAGAGGCGAAGAAGGACGUGAUAAGCUGCGAU
rnacentral:rRNA from 1 species